UACGUAGGUGGCAAGCGUUGUCCGGAAUUAUUGGGCGUAAAGCGCGCGCAGGCGGUCCUUUAAGUCUGAUGUGAAAGCCCACGGCUCAACCGUGGAGGGUCAUUGGAAACUGGGGGACUUGAGUGCAGGAGAGAAGAGUGGAAUUCCACGUGUAGCGGUGAAAUGCGUAGAGAUGUGGAGGAACACCAGUGGCGAAGGCGACUCUUUGGUCUGUAACUGACGCCGAGGCGCGAAAGCGUGGGGAGCAAACAGG
rnacentral:rRNA from 1 species